AGAAAUUCCUUGUGAAACUAGAAAGCCUGCGGAGAAGAGCUGUAACAAUCACGGCCCCGAUGCCUUCCUUUAGAGGACUUCAAGUUCUCAUUCUACCUCGCACUCUGCACACAGAGCCACAGAGAGACACACGCAGGUGAGGGCGCACAUACCCAGCGUUAGCACACACUCUACGUGGAGGGCUUCCUCGUCCUCUCCUGCUCUCAUCACAGGAGCCCGGAACUUUCCAGAGGAACAAGACAGGACCAGUCCGAGUGCGAGCAGCGAGAGACUUUUCUUCACUUUGAGAGAACCUGAACACCUAUCUUCCCCAAGACAACCUGCAUCCACCGGUCAUUCCCUCGCCGGGGCAUAGCUCGCCAUCGAGGCAGGAGUCCAGUGCAUCUGUCCCUGCAGGUAGGAGGUAUGCGCCUCGGUCAACACCGGAGCACUCAGCCGGCUGGAGAGAUUUCUGAAAAACUUUACUCCCAGGCAAUGAGCGAGCGGUGACUCUCUUAAAACUCACUUAAAUCAUUCAAAACUUCCAAGCUUAUCUGGGGGAAAUUUACAAGUGCUGUUUGCAUGUGGAAAACGGGUUUUUUACUUAAUGAUGGGGGGGAAAGUGCUUUAUUCUUGCCUUGCCUGUGAAACAAUAUCCAGAUGUUGUCUUGUUUGCUGUGGGUGUAAGUGAUCUAGGUGGAGGGAAGGAAUGACUCCGACUUCUCCUUGCAAGUGUUUUUCUCUCACAGUGUCUGUCAGAGCAAGUUUGUUACUGAUUUUCAGUGAUUAUAGAGUUCUGGGGUCUUUUUCUGGCAGUCAGUUUCCUUUGUCCAGGGAGAAGUCAGUGUAGGUUGCCUUAAGGCGAAACCUCACCGGAAUAUUUUAAAAUCUGUUACCUAUCCUUACGAGGAAAAAAAAAAAAAANNNNNNNNNNNNNNNNNNNNNNN
rnacentral:lncRNA from 1 species